rnacentral:misc_RNA from 1 species
AAAGUCGUAACAAGGUUUCCGUAGGUGAACCUGCGGAAGGAUCAUUAAUGAAUAACUAUGGCAUUGGUUGUAGCUGGCUCCUAGGAGCAUUGUGCACACCUGUCAUUUUUAUCUUUCCACCUGUGCACUUAAUGUAGGCUUGGAUAACUCUCACUCGCACUGAGUGGAUGCAAGGAUUGUCGUGUCGCAAGAUCGGCUCUCUUUGAAUUUCCAAGUCUAUGUAUCUUUACACACCCCAAUUGUAUAAUGAAGAAUGUAGUCAAUGGGCUUUCAUGCCUAUAAAACAAAUACAACUUUCAGCAACGGAUCUCUUGGCUCUC